ACACAGGGAAGGAGGUGGUCCGACAAAUUGAGUGACUUAUGGACAUGUGAGGUGGCUGCGAGCUAGCAGCGCCGGGGAGCGCUUGACGCCUACUGCGCGCGCUGGCGAAUUCCCCGCAGCCACCCGGCCCCCGAGCCCCUUGGUUGAGUCCGACCGAGGAUCACGGCUCGGGGGCUGCUCCGU
rnacentral:sRNA from 1 species